AUUAAAUAAUCAUUUUCAGGUGCCCCUCGGGGAGAAUAGGAAAAUAAGUGAGAAGCUUAUACGGGCCCGCCGCUGUAAAUUGGGAAUUGCUGUCUGGAUGCCACUGUUAAAAAAUGGGAAGGCGACAGCGAUGAGGAUCAUGAGUCAGAAGACCUGCCGGAGAAUUAGAUGAUGAG
rnacentral:ncRNA from 1 species